rnacentral:rRNA from 1 species
AACGGAGGGUGCAAGCGUUGUUCGGAAUCAUAGGGCGUAAAGCGCGUGUAGGCGGCCAAAUAAGUCUGGUGUGAAAGCCCGGGGCUCAACCCCGGAAGUGCACUGGAUACUGUUUGGCUAGCGGACGAGAGAGGGAAGCGGAAUUCCUGGUGUAGGGGUGAAAUCCGUAGAUAUCAGGAGGAACAUCGGUGGCGAAGGCGGCUUCCUGGCUUGUUUCUGACGCUCAGACGCGAAAGCGUGGGGAGCAAACAGG